rnacentral:tRNA from 1 species
AUUAGGCUGGCAGAUAAUGCGCUAGAUUUAGGAUCUACUCAUGAAGGUGUCUAGUCCUUCGUCUAAUA